AAGACACAAGUGCCUUUAUAACAUGUAAUAUUCCUAGACCUAUAUAUCUUUUUUUAAGCCUAUUCAUACAAAUAUUUAUUUCCCUUUUCAUUUUUUUUUUUUUUUUCUCCCAACAUAUUCUGAUGGUGCGAUCUGCCUGGUGGAGCCCCCUCACACCACAACAGACCUUGUAACUGAUGAAGAGUACGAGGAGACUUUGUCUGCUGCCUUCACAGAGGGGGAACCAGAAAGGCCUGUAGAGGGCAUGGCUGGGCAGCAGCAGGAAGGUCCCUCAACUUCAACUGCACAGAUUGACACAGUGAGAUGGAUGUUCAGUAAACACCAGAGGUUCAUUCUGUGGAAUUCAUGUGCAACUGUAUCAUUUAAUGUCCUCCUUAUGUAUUCCCAGUUACCAGUGAAAGACAUCUAUAAAAUAUUUCUGCUGAAAAUAAUUGAAAAACCAACAAAGAAAUGCAGUUCUUGGACCGCCAGAUGAGAAGGGCAGAUCUCGAAAUUGAAUUACUAGAGCACAAGUUAGAGGAAAUAAAGAAG